UACAGGGGGGGCAAGGCGUUGUUCGGAAUUACUGGGCGUAAAGGGCUCGUAGGCGGCCAACUAAGUCCGACGUGAAAUCCCAAAGCUUAACUGGGGAACUGCGUCUGAUACUGGAUGGCUUGGAUUCGGGAGAGGAAUGCGGAAUUCCAGGUGUAGCGGUGAAAUGCGUAGAUAUCUGGAGGAACACCGGUGGCGAAGGCGGCAUUCUGGACCGAUAUUGACGCUGAGGAGCGAAAGCCAGGGGAGCAAACGGGG
rnacentral:rRNA from 1 species